CGGGUACCUUCCUGAGGGAGAAAAAGUGUGUGUGUGUCGCUGACUCGCAGGCACUGGAGAUGCAACAAUAAACAAAUGAGAAGUGUUUGGCAUGGAGAUGAUACUCCAGUGGAGGGAGAUUUGCCUGUGGAGAUGGCACUUUCCAAAGUUGGCCACAUAUUCUUCUAGAAUGUUGCCUCUUCCUCAUCAAAAGGACGGGACUCAGACAUGCAUUCUUGGAAGGAAUAUACAGAAGUGAUGCU